rnacentral:tRNA from 2 species
GCGCCCGUAGCUCAGCUGGAUAGAGCGUCUGGCUACGAACCAGAAGGCCGGGAGUUCGAAUCUCUCCGGGCGCACCA